rnacentral:rRNA from 1 species
AUACGGAGGAUCCGAGCGUUAUCCGGAUUUAUUGGGUUUAAAGGGUGCGCAGGCGGCCAUUUAAGUCAGCGGUUAAAUCGUGGGGCUCAACCCCAUUCUGCCGUUGAUACUGGGUGGCUUGAUUGCGGUCGAGGUUGGCGGAAUUCGUUGUGUAGCGGUGAAAUGCAUAGAUAUGACGAAGAACACCGAUUGCGUAGGCAGCUGACCAGACCGCAAAUGACGCUCAUGCACGAAAGUGCGGGGAUCGAACAGGAUUAGAUACCCUGGUAGUCCGCACAGUAAACGAUGAAUACUUGUUUUCGGCGAUAUAAUGUCGGGGCAAAGCGAAAGCGAUAAGUAUUCCACCUGGGGAGUACGCCGGCAACGGUGAAACUCAAAUGAAUUGACGGGG